rnacentral:rRNA from 1 species
UACGGGGGGAGCAAGCGUUGUUCGGAUUUACUGGGCGUAAAGGGCGCGUAGGCGGCGUGACAAGUCACUUGUGAAAUCUCCGGGCUUAACUCGGAAACUGCCAUUGAUACUAUCUUUCUUGAAUACCGUGGAGGUCAGCGGAAUAUGUCAUGUAGCGGUGAAAUGCUUAGAUAUGACAUAGAACACCAAUUGCGAAGGCAGCUGGCUACACGAAUAUUGACACUGAUGCACGAAAGCGUGGGGAUCAAACAGG